AAACCCUAUUGUGGGCAACAUCUCAAUAAGUCCUUGUACCUCUCCUACACAUCAUAAAUUGUCUCAUCAUGAAAUUGCACAAACAAAGAAAUAUCAUUACGCAUCUU
rfam:Ricinus communis cultivar Hale ctg_1100012359731, whole genome shotgun sequence.